rnacentral:rRNA from 1 species
CCUACGGGAGGCAGCAGUGGGGAAUAUUGGACAAUGGGGGAAACCCUGAUCCAGCGACGCCGCGUGAGUGAAGAAGUAUUUCGGUACGUAAAGCUCUAUCAGCAGGAAAGAAAAUGACGGUACCUGACUAAGAAGCCCCGGCUAACUACGUGCCAGCAGCCGUGGGAAUACGGAGGGGGCGAGCGUUAUCCGGAUUUACUGGGUGUAAAGGGAGCGUAGGCGGCUGGCCAAGUCUGAAGUGAAAGCCCGGGGCUUAACCACGGAACGGCUGUGGAAACCGGCCGGCUGGAGUGCUGGUGAGGCAGGCGGAAGUCGUGGUGGAGCGGUGAAAUGCGUAGAUAUCAGGAAGAACCCCGAUGGCGAAGGCAGCCUG